UCACCCCUCAAGCCCUGCGCUUGGUGUUGGACGGCCGGUCGAGCGAUCGACCCCUCCGAAAGACAAUGACGGCGGCCUGUGGUUCCCCCGGUACACUGAGCUUCUAACCGAGCACGUAUCGGACAAGGGCACCCGGGACCCGGUCCUCUCCUUUAACUGGGAAACUUCUAAU
rnacentral:misc_RNA from 2 species